UUUCAAUUUCAGGUCAGCAAUGGUAAGUAUAGUGUGUUUUUUUAUGUAUAAUUUUGUAUACAUAUUGUUUUUUUCAUCAUAGCAUGUCUUUUAUAUUUAUGCUUUGUGUAAGUAAAAUGUUCAUAAAUCAUUCUUAUCUUCAAACUAAAAAUGUAUUGUGCUAUGCAAAAUGUCUGUAUGAUUUCAGUUGCCAGAGGUGAGUACCAUUACAGUUGAAAAGUUAGUUUUGUUUAGUUAAAGUUUUGGUUCACAGUUCUGUUUGUUAUUUGGCAAAAUUUACAUGUAUGCAUUGAGUCUUGAUUUCAGCUCGAUUGUGGACUGAAGAAGAUUGCCCGCAGAGGGAUUGGAUACAAAAUACAAAGUAAGUACUGAGUUUCUUACUAAAAGUUUUGAGUUGUAUUCAUUGUAUGUUAAUAUGCUAUGAUUGCUAUGAACAUGACUUUUGUAUUUCAGCGAAGACAACAUAGGUAAGUAAAAUUGUUAUCUGUUUCAUGUUUACUGUUACAGUUCAAUAUUGUGUUUAUAAAUUGUAAGUUGUACAAACACAUUCAAAAGUUUCUAAUCAUGCUUUCGAUUUCAUUUCAGCUUUACUGCUAGACGAGUGUUCUCUACUACUUGACGAGUCAGCUUUACUACCAGGCGAGCAGUGACAACAAGGCGCCUUUGUGGAAACAACACAACAAAAAACUGUACUGCUAGACGAGCAGUGACAGAAAGGCGCCUGAACAUGCAACACAAAACAAAAAAUGCCAAUAUACAAACCUUGAUGUGAACACCGAGUAGUCAAUGCAUACGUGUGGCGUACAGCUGCGACAAAACCGUGGGUCCAUCGCACCGAUAACUCGAACAUUGGCCCGCGUAUGGACAUCAGUGCAACUUUGUGAAUCCAUGUAACUUUGUGAAUCCAUGUAACAUUGCGAAUAUGUGUCGAUCGAAAAAUGUGUACAUUCUGCACUGAAACGAACUCGGUGUUGCAAGUGGCAAGUGUUGACAGUGUGUAUGUUUAUGUUUAUGUUUUUACAUGAAAACUAAAGGAGAUUGUUCUCCUACCUUUUUUUUCCUUGUUUUAUUGCGCUGGCCAGCAAUAUUGAUGUAUUGAUGUAUGUGUUUGUGUUUAAACUAUGCAAUACCAAAAUCAAACAAAAAUAAACAUUAACAGUCAUUAACUGUGUUUGGGCGGCCGAGGGGUUUAAGACUCCACAAGUGUGAAGCGCACUGAUAGCACUUGGGGGUGAACACCUCGGUAUUUCGGUGCUAAAAUGUUUUCACGGUGCUUAUCUUGACGCACUGUUAAGACUACCAACCAGUUAAUGAUUGCUUCAUCUUUAAACAAAAAGUAAGUCUCUACUUUGGCACAAGAGACUCCAAGUACCAAAUACCAACAAUUAAAAAGCAGACGUUUUUCAAAACUAUGAUCGCUGAGAUUGAUAGUCAGAUGGAGUCCUGCCCAGUUAGCUGUGUAGCGGUCUAGGGCGGGGUUGCAAGUCAAUACGAAAUGAGGCGCUAUAAAGCAACUCGUCCCCGUUAUGACCGUCAAUACUUUCGACACUAUCUGGGAAUCCUUUCAACACCACAUUGUUGCGCUGUUGGAAGGGUGGUAGGCACGCAUGGUGACAUGCCUGUGCUUUGCUAUGCGACACCAUGGUAUUUUCGUACGGUGACACGAAAUAUCUUAAUCUGGCUCUCUCAGAAACGCAGGCACGCGUUGACCGAACCUGACCGAUGACCGAGCAAUAACAUUUCUAUUAAGUGCUUCAAUGCACAAAGUCUGCUAGGCUGGGUGGGAA